rnacentral:lncRNA from 1 species
AAAACCUAUAGAUAAAAAAUUCUAAAAGCAUACCUAUCUAUCAACAAAAACGCUUGAUAUCCUAAUUUCUAAAUCACAAUCUCAAAUCUAUAGUAUUUCUUUACAAAAAUGACAACUUUCUAAAAAUAGCAGUUCUUAGACAUUUUAUUUAUAAAAUAUAACCUAUUAAUCAAAAUUCUAAAAGCAUACUCAAAUAUCAACAAAGACUCUUGUAAUCCUAAUUUCUAAAUCACAAUCCCAAAGCUAUAGAAUUUCUUUACAAAAAUGAUAACUUUCCAAAAAUAGCAGGUUUUAGAAAGUUUAUUAAAAAAUUAAAACCUAUAGGUAAAAAUUUCUAAAAGCAUAUCCAUCUAUCAACAAAAACGCUUGCUAUCUUAAUUUCUAAAUCACAAUCCCAAAUCUAUAGUAUUUUUUACAAAAAUGAUAACUUCCUAAAAAUAGUAGUUCUUAGAAAUUUUAUUUAUAAAAUAUAACCUAUUUAUUAAAAUUCUAAAACCGUACCAUCUAUAACCAAAAACUCUUGUUAUCCAGAUUUCUAAAUCACAUUCCCAAAUCAAUAGUAUUUAUUUACAAAAAUGAUAAUUUUCUAAACAUAACAGUUCUUAGACAUUUUAUUUAUAAAAUAUAACCUAUUGAUCAAAAUUCUAAAAGCGUACCCAAAUAUAAAAAAAAACGCUUGUUAUCCAAAUUUCUAAAUCACAAUCACAAAUUUACAAUAUUUAUCUACAAAAUGAUAACUUUCCAAAUAUAGCAGUUUUCAAAAUUUUAUUUUAAAAUAUAACCUAUGGAUCAAAAAUUCUAAAAGCAUACACAUAUACCAGCAAAAACUCUUGUUAUCCUAAUUUCUAAAUCACAAUCGCAACACUAUAGCAUUUCUUAACAAAAAUGAUACUUUUCCAAAAAUAGCAGGUUUUAGAAAAUUUAUUAAAAAAUUAAACAUAUAGAUAAAAAAUUCUAAAACCAUACUCAUCUAUCAACAAAAACGCAUGUUAUCCUAAUUUCUAAAUCACAAUCGCAACACUAUAGCAUUUCUUAACAAAAAUGAUACUUUUCCAAAAAUAGCAGGUUUUAGAAAAUUUAUUAAAAAAUUAAACAUAUAGAUAAAAAAUUCUAAAACCAUACUCAUCUAUCAACAAAAACGCAUGUUAUCCUAAUUUCUAAAUCACAAUCCCAAAUCUAUAGUAUUUCUUUACAAAAAUGAUAACUUUCCCAAAAUAACUGGUUUUAGAAAAUUUAUUUAAAAAUUAAAACCUAUAGGUAAAUAAUUCUAAAAGCAUACCCAUUUAUCAACAAAAACGCUUGUUAUCCUAAUUUCUAAAUCACAAUUCCAAAUCUACAAUAUUUUUCUACAAAAAUGAUAACUUUCCAAAACUUGAAGUUCUUCGAAAUUUUAUUUAUAAAAUAUAACCUAUUGAUCAAAAAUUUAAAAAAGCAUACCCAUAUAUAAACAAAAAUUCUUGUUAUCAUAAUUUCUAAAUCACAAUCCCAAAUCUACAAUAUUUCUCUACAAAACGAUAACUUUCUAAAAAAUAGAAGGUUUUGGAAAAUUAAUUUAAAAAUUAUAACCUAUUGACAAAAAUUCUAAAACCAUACCCAUCAAUAACAAAAAAACUCUUGUUAUCUAGAUUUCUAAAUCACAAUCCCAAAUCUAUAGUAUUUUUUUACAAAAAUGAUAACUUUCUAAAAAUAGCAGUUCUUAGACAUUUUACUAAUAAAAUAUAACAUAUUGAUCAAAAUUCUAAAAGCAUACCCAUAUAUCAACAAAAACUCUUGUAAUCCUAAUUUCUAAAUCACAAUCCCAAAUCUAUAGAAUUUCUUUACAAAAAUGAUAACUUUCCAAAAAUAGCAGUUCUUAGACAUUUUACUAAUAAAAUAUAACAUAUUGAUCAAAAUUCUAAAAGCAUACCCAUAUAUCAACAAAAACUCUUGUAAUCCUAAUUUCUAAAUCACAAUCCCAAAUCUAUAAAAAAAUUUUACAAAAAUGAUAACUUUCCAAAAAUAGUAGGUUUUAGAAAGUUUAUUAAGAAAUUAAAACCUAUAGGUAAAAAUUUCUAAAAGCAUACCCAACUAUCAACAAUAACGCAUGCUAUCCUAAUUUCUAAAUCACAAUCCCAACUCUAUAGUAUUUCUUAACAAAAAUGAUACUUUUCCAAAAAUAGCAAGUUUUAGAAAAUUUAUUUAAAAAUUAAAACCUAUAGAUAAAAAUUCUAAAAGCAUACCCAUCUAUCGACAAAAACGCCUGAUAUCCUAAUUUAUAAAUCACAAUCUCAAAUCUAUAGUAUUUCUUUACAAAAAUGAUAACUUUAAAAAAAUAGCAGUUCUUAGACAUUUUAUUUAUAAAAUAUAACCUAUUGAUCAAAAUUCUAAAAGCAUACCCAUAUAUCAACAAAAACUCUUGUAAUCCUAAUUUCUAAAUCACAAUCCCAAAUCUACAGAAUUUCUUUACAAAAAUGAUAACUUUCCAAAAAUAGCAUGUUUUAGAAAGUUUAUUAAAAAAUUAAAACCUAUAGGUAAAAAUUUCUAAAAGCAUAUCCAUCUAUCAACAAAAACGCUUGCUAUCUUAAUUUUUAAAUCACAAUCUCAAAUCUAUAGUAUUUCUUUACAAAAAUGAUAACUUUCUAAAAAUAGCAGUUCUUAGAAAUUUUAUUUAUAAAAUAUAACCUAUUUAUUAAAAUUCUAAAACCAUAUCAUCUAUAACCAAAAACUCUUGUUAUCCAGAUUUCUAAAUCACAAUCCCAAAUCUAUAGUAUUUCUUUACGAAAAUGAUAACUUUCUAAAAAUAGCAGUUCUUAGACAUUUUAUUUAUAAAAUAUAACCUUUUGAUCAAAAUUCUAAAAGCGUACCCAAAUAUAAAAAAAACGCUUGUUAUCCAGAUUUCUAAAUAACAAUCACAAAUUUACAAUAUUUAUCUACAAAAUGAUAACUUUCCAAAUAUAGCAAUUUUUAAAAUUUUAUUUUAAAAAUAUAACCUAUGGAUCAAAAAUUCUAAAAGCAUACCCAUGUAUCAGCAAAAACUCUUGUUAUCCUAAUUUCUAAAUCACAAUCGCAAAAAUAUAGUAUUUCUUAACAAAAAUGAUACUUUUCCAAAAAUAGCAGGUUUUAGAAAAUUUAUUAAAAAAUUUAAGCCUAUAGAUAAAAAAUUCUAAAAGCAUACCCAUAUAUCAACAAAACCGCGUGCUAUCAUAAUUUCUAAAUCACAAUCCCAACUCUAUAGUAUUUCUUAACAAAAAUGAUACUUUUCCAAAAAUUGCAGGUUUUAGAAAAUUUAUUAAAAAAUUAAAACCUAUAGAUAAAAAAUUCUAAAAGCAUACCCAUCUAUCAACAAAAAUGCUUGAUAUCCUAAUUUAUAAAUCACAAUCUCAAUCUAUAGUAUUUCUUUACAAAAAUGAUAACUUUCCAAAAAUAGCGGGUUUUUAAAAAAUUAUAUGAAAAUUAUAACCCAUCGAUCGAAAAUUCUAAAAGCAUUCCCAUCUAUCAACAAAAACUCUUGUUAUCCUAGUUUCUAAAUCACAAUCCCAAAUCUACAAUAUUUCUCUACAAAAAUGAAAGGUUUCCAAAAAUAGCAGUUCUUGGAAAUUUUAUUUAUAAAAUAUAACAUAUUGAUCAAAAAUUCUAAAAGCAUACCCAUAUAUCAACAAAAACUCUUGUUAUCCUAAUUUCUAAAUCACAAUCCCAAAUCUAUCGUAUUUCUUUACAAAAAUGAUAACUUUCCAAAAAUAACUGGUUUUAGAAAAUUUAUUUAAAAAUUAAAACCUAUAGGUAAAAAAUUCUAAAAGUAUACCCAUCUAUCAACAAAAACGCUUACUAUCCUAAUUUCUAAAUCACAAUCCCAAAUCUGCAAUAUUUCUCAACAAAAAUGAUAACUUUCCAGAACUUGAAGUUCUUAGAAAUUUUAUUUAUAAAAUAUAACCUAUUGAUAAAAAAUUCUAAAAGCAUACCCAUAUAUAAACAAAAACUCUUGUUAUCAUAAUAUCUAAAUCACAAUCCCAAAUCUACAACAUUUCUCUACAAAAUGAUAACUUUCUAAAAAAAAAAGGUUUUGGAAAAUUAAUUUAAAAAUUAUAACCUAUUGACAAACAUUCUAAAACCAUACCCAUCUAUAACAAAAAAACUCUUGUUAUCUAGAUUUCUAAAUCACAAUCCCAAAUAUAUAGUAUUUCUUUACAAAAAUGAUAACUUUCUAAAAAUAGCAGUUCUUAGAAAUACUAUUUAUAAAAUAUAGACUAUUGAUCAAAAUUCUAAAACCAUACCCUCUGUAACCAAAAACUCUUGUUAUCCAGAUUUCUAAAUCACAAUCUCAAAUCUACAAUAUUUCUCUACAAAAAUGAUAACUUUCCAAAAAUAGCAGUUUUUGGAAAUUUUAUUUAUAAAAUAUAACCUAUUGAUAAAAAAUUUUAAAUGCAUACCAAUAUAUCAACAAAAUCUCUUGUUAUCCUAAUUUCUAAAUCCCAAUCCCAAAUCUAUCUCAAAUCUACAAUUUUUAUCAAUAAACUGACAACUUUCCAAAAAUAGCAUGUUUUGGAAAAUUUAUUUAAAAAAUAUAACCAAUUGAUCAAAAAUUCUAAAACCAUACCCAUCUAUAACCAAAAACUCUUGUUAUGCAGAUUUCUAAAUCACAAACCCAAAUCUACAAUAUUCCCCUACAAAAAUGAUAACUUUCCAAAAACAGCAGUUCUUGGAAAUUUUAUUUAUAAAAUAUAAUCUAUUGAUCAAAAAUUCUAAAAGCAUACCAAUAUAUCAACAAAAUCUCUUGGUAUCCUAAUUUCUAAUUUCCAAUCCCAAAUCUACAAUAUUUCUCUACAAAAAUGAUAACUUUCUAAAAAUAGUAUGUUUUGGAAAAUUUAUUUAAAAAAUAUAACCUAUUGAUCAAAAAUUCGAAAACCAUACCCAUCUAUAACUAAAAACUCUUGUUAACUAGAUUUCUAAAUCACAAUCUCAAAUCUACAAUAUUUCUCUACAAAAAUGAAAGCUUUCCAAAAAUAGCAGUUCUUGAAAAUUUUAUUUAUAAAAUAUAACAUAUUGAUCAAAAGUUCUAAAAGCAUACCUAUAUAUCAACAAAAACUCUUUUACAAUAUUUCUCUACAAAAUGAUAACUUUCUAAAAAUAGCAGGUUUUGGAAAUUUUUUUAAAAAAUUAUAACCUAUUGAUCAAAAAUUCUAAAACCAUACCCAUCUAUAACCAAAAACUCUUGUUAUCCAGAUUUCUAAAUCACAUUCCCAAAUCUAUAGUAUUUCUUUACAAAAAUGAUAAUUUUUUAAGAAUAGCAGUUCUUAGAAAUUUUAUUUAUAAAAUAUAACCUAUUGAUCAAAAAAUCUAAAACCAUACCCAUCUAUAACCAAAAACUCUUGUUAUACAGAUUUCUAAAUCACAAUCCCAAAUCUAUAGUAUUUCAAAAUUGAUAACAAUCUAAAAAUAACAGUUUUUAGAAAUUUUAUUUAUAAAAUAUAACCUAUUGAUCAAAAUUCUAAAACCAUACCCAUAUAUAACCAAAAACUCUUGUUAUCCAGAUUUCUAAAUCACAAUCUCAAAUCUAUAGUAUUUCUUUACAAAAAUGAUAACUUUCUAAAAAUAGCAGUUCUUAGACAUUUUAUUUAUAAAAUAUAAUCUAUUGAUCAAAAUUCUAAAAGCAUACCCAUAUAUCAACAAAAACUCUUGUUAUCCAGAUUUAUAAAUCACAAUCUCAAAUCUAUAGAAUUUCUUUACAAAAAUGAUAACUUUCCAAAAAUAGCAGGUUUUAGAAAGUUUAUUAAAAAAUUAAAACCUAUAGGUAAAAAUUUCUAAAAGCAUAUCCAUCUAUCAACAAAAACGCUUGUUAUCUUAAUUUCUAAAUCACAAUUUCAAAUCUAUAGUAUUUCUUUACAAAAAUGAUAACUUUCUAAAAAUUGCAGUUCUUAGAAAUUUUAUUUAUAAAAUAUAACCUAUUGAUCAAAAUUCUAAAACCAUACCCAUCUAUAACUAAAAACUCUUGUUAUCAUAAUUUCUAAAUCACAAUCCCAAAUUUACAAUAUUUCUCUACAAAAUGAUAACUUUCUAAAAAUAGCAGGUUUUGGAAAUUUUUUUAAAAAAUUAUAACCUAUUGAUCAAAAAUUCUAAAACCAUACCCAUCUAUAACCAAAAACUCUUGUUAUCCAGAUUUCUAAAUCACAUUCCCAAAUCUAUAGUAUUUCUUUACAAAAAUGAUAAUUUUUUAAGAAUAGCAGUUCUUAGAAAUUUUAUUUAUAAAAUAUAACCUAUUGAUCAAAAAAUCUAAAACCAUACCCAUCUAUAACCAAAAACUCUUGUUAUACAGAUUUCUAAAUCACAAUCCCAAAUCUAUAGUAUUUCAAAAUUGAUAACAAUCUAAAAAUAACAGUUUUUAGAAAUUUUAUUUAUAAAAUAUAACCUAUUGAUCAAAAUUCUAAAACCAUACCCAUAUAUAACCAAAAACUCUUGUUAUCCAGAUUUCUAAAUCACAAUCUCAAAUCUAUAGUAUUUCUUUACAAAAAUGAUAACUUUCUAAAAAUAGCAGUUCUUAGACAUUUUAUUUAUAAAAUAUAAUCUAUUGAUCAAAAUUCUAAAAGCAUACCCAUAUAUCAACAAAAACUCUUGUUAUCCAGAUUUAUAAAUCACAAUCUCAAAUCUAUAGAAUUUCUUUACAAAAAUGAUAACUUUCCAAAAAUAGCAGGUUUUAGAAAGUUUAUUAAAAAAUUAAAACCUAUAGGUAAAAAUUUCUAAAAGCAUAUCCAUCUAUCAACAAAAACGCUUGCUAUCUUAAUUUCUAAAUCACAAUCCCAAAUCUAUAGUAUUUCUUUACAAAAAUGAUAACUUCCUAAAAAUAGUAGUUCUUAGAAAUUUUAUUUAUAAAAUAUAACCUAUUGAUCAAAAUUCUAAAAGCGUACCCAUAUAUAAAAAAACGCUUGUUAUCUAGAUUUCUAAAUCACAAUCGCAAAUCUAUAGUAUUUCUUUACAAAACUGAUAACUUUCUAAAAAUAGCAGUUCUUAGAAAUUUUAUUUAUAAAAUAUAACCUAUUGACCAAAAUUCUAAAACCAUACCCAUAUAUAACCAAAAACUCUUGUUAUCCUAAUUUCUAAAUCACAAUCCCAACUCUAUAGUAUUUCUUAACAAAAAUGAUACUUUUCCAAAAAUAGCAGGUUUUAGAAAAUUUAUUAAAAUAUUAAAACCUAUAGAUAAAAAAUUCUAAAAGCAUACCCAUCUAUCAACAAAAACGCUUGCUAUCCUAAUUUCUAAAUCACAAUCCCAAAUCUAUAGUAUUUCUUUACAAAAAUGAUAACUUUCCAAAAAUAGCAGGUUUUAGAAAAUUUAUAUGAAAAUUAUAACCUAUUGAUCGAAAAUUCUAAAAGCAUUCCCAUCUAUCAACAAAAACUCUUGUUAUCCUAGUUUCUAAAUCACGAUCUCAAAUCUACAAUAUUUCUCUACAAAAUUAUAAUUUUUCAAAAAUAGCAUGUUUUGGAUAAUGUAUUUAAAAAUUAUAAACUAUUGAUCAAAAAUUCUAAAACCAUACCCAUCGAUAACCAAAAACUCUUGUUAUCUAAUUUCUAAAUCACAAACCCAAAUAUACAUUAUUUCUCUAUAAAAAUGGUAAUUUUCCAAAAAUAACAAGUUUUAGAAAAUUUAUUUAAAAAUUAUAACAUAUUGAUAAAAAAUUCUAAAAGCAUACCCAUAUAUCAACAAAAACUCUUGUUAUCCUAAUUUAUAAAUCACAAUCCCAAAUCUAUAGU